rnacentral:tRNA from 1 species
UCUGUGGUGGUCCAGUGGCUAAGACGCUGCACUUCCAAUACACGAGACGCAGGUUCAAUCCCUGUUUGGGGAA